rnacentral:piRNA from 1 species
UCCAGGAACACCAGUGGCUACAGUGGCUU